ACCAACAUGAGCAUCAGACUGAAAGUGUCCUUCACCAACAUGAGCAUGUCCAUUACGAACAUGAUUGUCAGACUGAAUGUGUCCUUUACUGUACGAACAUGAGCGUCAGACUGAACGUGUCUGUGACGAACAUAAACGUCAGACUGAACCUGUCCGUUAUGAACCUAAGUGUCAGACUGAAUGUGGACUAUUUUAUUCAUUCAUUCUCUGCUCCAAAAAUAGUUUCAGCCAGAAUGUUCAGUAUCAAGCAGCCAAUCAACCAAAACUAUCACUCUGCAGCCAAGUUGAGUGAGAGAUGCUGUCCUGUCUUCCUGCAUGUUAAUUUUUACCAAAGAUCCUUCAGAUGAGUGUCAGACUGAACGUGUCCUUCAGAUGAGCCAUCUCUGAGUGUCAGACUGAACGUGGACAUGUCUUUCAGAUGAGCGCAUCCGUCACUGGAUGAGCGUCAGACUGAACGUGGACAUGUCUUUCAGAUGAGCGUCAGACUGAAUGUGGACAUGCCUUUUAGAUGAGCGUCAGACUAAACGUGGACGUGUCCUUUAGAUGAGCCGUCUCUGUUUGAACAUUAACUCGGUUUGCACUACUCUUUUGUCUCCUUCAAUGAC